GAUGAACGCUGGCGGCGUGCCUAAUACAUGCAAGUCGAGCGAACAGAUGAGGAGCUUGCUCCUCUGACGUUAGCGGCGGACGGGUGAGUAACACGUGGAUACCCUACCUAUCAGACUGGGAUAACUUCGGGAAACCGGAGCUAAUACCGGAUAAUAUCUUGAACCGCAUGGUUCAAUAGUGAAAGACGGUUUUGCUGUCACUUAUCGAUGGAUCCGCGCCGCAUUAGCUAGUUGGUAAGGUAACGGCUUACCAAGGGAACGCUGCGUAGCCGACCUGAGAGGGUGAUCGGCCACACUGGAAGUGAGACACGGACCAGACGCCUACGGGAGGGAGCAGUAGGGAAUCUGCCGCAAUGGGCGAAAGCCUGACGGAACAACGCCGCGUGAGUGAUGAAGGUCUUCGGAUCGUAAAACUCUGUUAUUAGUGAAGAACAAAUGUGGAAGUAACUGUGCACGUCGUGACGGUACCUAAUCAGAAAGCCACGGCUAACUACGUG
rnacentral:rRNA from 1 species